AGUGGACGCUGGCGGUAGGCCUAACACAUGCAACUCGAACGGCAGCACAGUAAGAGCUUGCUCUUACGGGUGGCGAGUGGCGGACGGGUGAGGACUACAUCGGAAUCUACUUUUUCGUGGGGGAUAACGUAGGGACACUUACGCUAAUACCGCAUACGACCUACGGGUGAAAUCAGAGGCUCUUCGGACCUUGCGCGAUUGAAUGAGCCGAUGUCGGAUUAGAUAGUUGGCGGGGUAAAGGCCCACCAAGGCGACGAUCCGUAGCAGGUCUGAGAGGAUGAUCAGCCACACUGGAACUGAGACACGGUCCAGACUCCUACGGGAGGCAGCAGUGGGGAAUAUUGGACAAUGGGCGCAAGCCUGAUCCAGCCAUCCCGCGUGGGUGAAGAAGGCCUUCGGGUUGUAAAGCCCUUUUGUUGGGAAAGAAAAGCAGCAGGUUAAUACCCCGCUGUUCUGACGGUACCCAAAGAAUAAGCACCGGCUAACUUCGUG
rnacentral:rRNA from 1 species